rnacentral:rRNA from 1 species
GAUGAACGCUGGCGGCGUGCCUAAUACAUGCAGGUCGAGCGAACAGACGAGGAGCUUGCUCCUCUGACGUUAGCGGCGGACGGGUGAGUAACACGUGGAUAACCUACCUAUAAGACUGGGAUAACUUCGGGAAACCGGAGCUAAUACCGGAUAAUAUAUUGAACCGCACGGUUCAAUAGUGAAAGACGGUUUUGCUGUCACUUAUAGAUGGAUCCGCGCCGCAUUAGCUAGUUGGUAAGGUAACGGCUUACCAAGGCAACGAUGCGUAGCCGACCUGAGAGGGGGAUCGGCCACACUGGAGCUGAGACGCGGUCCAGGCUCCUACGGGAGGCAGCAGUAGGGAAUCUUCCGCAAUGGGGGAAAGCCUGACGGAGCAACGCCGCGUGAGUGAUGAAGGUCUUCGGAUCGUAAAACUCUGUUAUUAGGGAAGAACAAAUGUGUAAGUAACUAUGCACGUCUUGACGGUACCUAGUCAGAAAGCCACGGCUAACUACGUG